rnacentral:rRNA from 1 species
UGGGGAAUUUUGGACAAUGGGCGAAAGCCUGAUCCAGCAAUGCCGCGUGUGUGAAGAAGGCCUUCGGGUUGUAAAGCACUUUUGUCCGGAAAGAAAUCCUUGGCUCUAAUACAGUCGGGGGAUGACGGUACCGGAAGAAUAAGCACCGGCUAACUACGUGCCAGCAGCCGCGGUAAUACGUAGGGUGCAAGCGUUAAUCGGAAUUACUGGGCGUAAAGCGUGCGCAGGCGGUUCGCUAAGACCGAUGUGAAAUCCCCGGGCUCAACCUGGGAACUGCAUUGGUGACUGGCAGGCUAGAGUAUGGCAGAGGGGGGUAGAAUUCCACGUGUAGCAGUGAAAUGCGUAGAGAUGUGGAGGAAUACCGAUGGCGAAGGCAGCCCCCUGGGCCAAUACUGACGCUCAUGCACGAAAGCGUGGGGAGCAAACAGGAUUAGAUACCCUGGUAGUCCACGCCCUAAACGAUGUCAACUAGUUGUUGGGGAUUCAUUUCCUUAGUAACGUAGCUAACGCGUGAAGUUGACCGCCUGGGGAGUACGGUCGCAAGAUUAAAACUCAAAUGAAUUGACGGGGUCAUAGCUGUUUCCU